rnacentral:misc_RNA from 1 species
AUGCGAUAAUUAAUGUGAAUUGCAGAAUUCAGUGAAUCAUCGAGUCUUUGAACGCACAUUGCGCCCCCUGGUAUUCCGGGGGGCAUGCCUGUCCGAGCGUCAUUGCUGCCCUCAAGCACGGCUUGUGUGUUGGGCUUCCGUCCCUGGCAACGGGGACGGGCCCAAAAGGCAGUGGCGGCACCAUGUCUGGUCCUCGAGCGUAUGGGGCUUUGUCACCCGCUCCCGUAGGUCCAGCUGGCAGCUAGCCUCGCAACCAAUCUUUUUAACCAGGUUGACCUCGGAUCAGGUAGGGAUACCCGCUGAACUUAA